AGUUGUGGAAGCACAGAAGGCUACUGAAAGAACUGUCACUAAGAACAAUUGCUACAGAACGAUCUAAAGGAUCAGAUGCUGACAGAGUACAAAACAGCUGAAGCAAUUCGAUGGCAGUGGGGAAGAAAGGCUUUGUACCUGCCUUUCCUGCCAAGUUUACAGGAGAUGUGUUGGUUCUCAGGUUCCCUCGACAUUUAGCUCUAGGAUCUAUAAUUUUGUAGCCAGAAGCCAACCUUGGCAAUGAAUCAGGUUUAAAAUCCAGCAAUCUUGAAAACAAUUCCAAAUGACAGCUUCAUCAGAAAGAAAAGAUUGAGAUAUGGUUUUGCUACAGCCAUUGGGAACAAGAGAAAUGGAAGUUCUUUAGCCCAGAAG
rnacentral:lncRNA from 1 species